rnacentral:lncRNA from 1 species
AGUUUCAAAGUACAUUCAAUUUUUUACAUGUGCGUUCGUCUCACCGAAAUUGGAGAGGGAUGAAGUGAAUUUCGAUCGUAAUCGUCCACUUUCGUUGGUUGUUUUACUGUAACUUUACCUUCGAUCGAAACUCAAACUCUCUAAAAUAAUGUAAUUGACUUUCACCUAUCCUAGAUUGAAGUCACUUACAAAACAAAUGAAAAAAAUAAAUAAAUUUUGUCAAAACUUUAAAUCGUCUGAAACUCUAUUUUAACCUGAACUAUAUUUGGGCCUAAAAUUUUUACUAAGGGCAUAUUUCGUUGGUCGAAACUGAAGCACUGAAAGCAGCACUUUCAGAAAGUAACGUACGGUUAUUUGGUUUGUGAAAGUGAAUGUAAAAAUCACUUUACAAAAGUGAAUUGCUAAAAUGAGUUAUAACUAAAUCUCAUUUUUUUAUAAGUUCAAAAUAUUUUGAAGUCAUCGAAAGUAGGGAGUUUAUUUAAAAUACUACGUUUGGUCUUAAAUUUAAUCUUUAAAU